AUAUCAAUAAGCGGAGGAAAAGAAACCAACCGGGAUUGCCCUAGUAACGGCGAGUGAAGCGGCAACAGCUCAAAUUUGAAAUCUGGCCUCUGGCUCGAAUUGUAAUUUGUAGAAGGUGCUUUGGGAGCGACGACGGUGCAAGUUUCCUGGAACGGAGCGUCACAGAGGGUGAGAAUCCCGUACGCCACCGAUUGUCAAUCCCGCGUAAAGCCCUUUCGACGAGUCGAGUUGUUUGGGAAUGCAGCUCUAAAUGGGUGGUAAAUUUCAUCUAAAGCUAAAUAUUCGCCAGAGACCGAUAGCGCACAAGUAGAGUGAUCGAAAGAUGAAAAGCACUUUGAAAAGAGAGUCAAAAAGUACGUGAAAUUGUUGAAAGGGAAGCGCUUGCAACCAGACUUGUCCGCGCGUGCUCAGCCUUCCUUUGGGAAUGGUGCACUCUCGUGCGGACAGGCCAGCAUCGGUUCCGGCGGCCGGAUAAAGGCCUUGGGCAUGUAGCUCCCUUCGGGGUGUGUUAUAGCCCGAGGUGAAAUGCGGCCUGCUGGGACCGAGGACCGCGCUUUUUGCUAGGAUGCUGGCGUAAUGGUUGUCAGCGACCCGUCUUGAAACACGGACCGAGGAGUCGACCAACCGCGCGAGUGUUUGGGUGUAAAGCCCACGACGCGCAAUGAAAGUGAACGCAGGUGGGAGCUUCGGCGCACCAUCGACCGAUCUUGAUGUCCUCGGAUGGAUUUGAGUAUGAGCGCGCUUGGUCGGACCCGAAAGUCAUGUGAUCUAUGCGUGAAUAGGGUGAAGCCAGAGGAAACUCUGGUGGAGGCUCGCAGCGGUUCUGACGUGCAAAUCGAUCGUCAAAUUUGCGCAUAGGGGCGAAAGACUAAUCGAACUGACUAGUAGCUGGUUCCUGUCGAAGUUUCCCU
rnacentral:rRNA from 1 species